GGCUUGGUGGUCUAGAGGUAUGAUUCCUUCUUAGGGUUAUCAAAUACUCGUCUGGAGGAGGUCCCGGGUUCGAUUCCCGGCCAAGCCC